rnacentral:rRNA from 1 species
GACGAACGCUGGCGGCGUGCUUAACACAUGCAAGUCGAACGAUGAAACCUAGCUUGCUAGGUCGAUUGGUGGCGAACGGGUGAGUAACACGUGACUAACCUGCCCCUUUCUCUGGGAUAACGCUCCGAAAGGAGUGCUAAUACCGGAUACUCACACCGAGGCACAUGCCUUGGUGUGGAAAGUUUUUCGGAAAGGGAUGGAGUCGCGGCCUAUCAGCUUGUUGGUGAGGUAACGGCUCACCAAGGCGACGACGGGUAGCCGGCCUGAGAGGGGGGCCGGCCACACUGGGACUGAGACACGGCCCAGACUCCUACGGGAGGCAGCAGUGGGGAAUAUUGCACAAUGGGCGCAAGCCUGAUGCAGCGACGCCGCGUGAGGGAUGAAGGUCUUCGGAUUGUAAACCUCUUUCAGUAGGGACGAAGCGAAAGUGACGGUACCUAAAGAAGAAGCACCGGCUAACUACGUGCCAGCAGCCGCCGUAA